UCAUUUAGAGAAAGGAGAAGUCGUAACAAGGUUUCUGUAGGUGAACCUGUGGAAGGAUCAUUAUCAAGGCCCAUCGAGCAGCGAGACCCACGAACUGGUGACCCUAACGAGAUAGGCAUGGCUCAGGGAGCGCGGUGUCAACUGCUCUCUUGGGGAUGUCGGCUCACGUUUGGAACUUACAUGACUCUCGACAAUGGAUAUCUUGGCUCUCGCAUCGAUGAAGAACGUAGCAAAAUGCGAUACUUGGUGUCAAUUGCAGAAUCCCAUGAACCAUCAAGUCUUUGAAUGCAAGUUGCACCCAAGGCCACUCGACCGAGGGCACACUUGCCUGGGCAUCACACACUGUGCUGCCCCACCCGGCGCUCCCCCCAUCCGAUGGCAGUGCCACAAGGCGAAGACUAGCCGCCCAUGCGCCCUGCAUGCAUGGUCGACUGACAAGCAUUCGCUCCCCCACCGGGGCAGACGCAGCGGUAGGUGGUUUGAGAGGAGGUUGCCUUCUUGGAGCCCAGACGUCGUGCCCAUCGCCCCACGCCUGGGGGCAGAGCAAAGUGGCACCCAACUCAGCUACCCCAGGUGGCCCUCACACAGCGACCCCAAGUUUGGCAAGGACACUCGCUGAUUUAAGCAUAUC
rnacentral:misc_RNA from 1 species